AGCCUGCGAUGGUUGUAGUGUUGAAUGCAGACAUAUAAAAAAUAAAGUCUGACGUUUGAAAUAUAACGAUGGAGAAACCCAGAAUAAAAUUUUUUCGAUUAGAAAAAGUCAAUACCUGGGAUUCGUAAAGUGCCACAGAGACGAGCUGAUUGGAAACAAUCAGAGUGAAACGCGGUAAGCCCCUUCAGGA
rnacentral:RNase_P_RNA from 1 species